rnacentral:rRNA from 1 species
CCGCCGCCGUUUCACUUCGGAAACCUUAUCACCAUCAAGUUGUCGGCGGACAACUACAUCUUCUGGCGUGCGCAGGUCCUCCCGCUUCUUGGGAGUCAUUACCUGCUUGGCUACGUCGACGGUUCUCUCCCCUGUCCUCCUGCGCUUAUUGACAGCGUGCACGGCCCGGUCUACAAUCCGGCGCACCGUGUUUGGAUGGGGCAGGACCAAGCGAACCUCUCCUCCAUCCAGGGGUCGCUCACUCCGGCCGUUGCCGGUCUUGUUGUCUUCGCCAAGACGUCUCAUGAGGCUUGGACCAUCCUUGAGCGCUCCUUUGCAGCACAGUCGCAGGCUCGUGUCUCUUCGCUCCGUCGUCAACUUGGGGAGUGUCAGAAACUUGACUCCACUGCCACCGAGUUCUACAACAAGGUCAAGGGCCUCGCCGACACGCUGGCUUCUAUUGGACAGCCCCUUACUGACUCCGAGUUCAACUCGUUUAUUGUCAAUGGUCUUGAUGAGGAGUAUGAUGCCUUAGUCGAGAUCAUUAACGAGCGGGGCAACUCCACACCCAUGAUGGCGCACGAGGUCUUUUCCCAUCUCCUUCUCACUGAGCAACGGGUUGAGACGCGUCGCUCCAGGAGCAGCGGCUCCCUCUCGGCCAACACCGCCACGAAGGGUGGCCGCGCAUCUUCAUCAUCUCGGGCCCCUUCGGGGCUGCCACCACCGCCCACUUCGGCCCCCCCUCCUACUGCAACAUUACCGGGGGCUGGCGGUCCUCGUGUGUGUCAGCUUUGUGGUCGUGAUGGACACUUGGCCUCUAAGUGUCACAAGCGCUUUCAGAAGAGUUUUCUGGGCCUCGGCAAUGAUGGCAAGGACACACGCAACUUUGCGCGCCAAGUGGCCAUGGAAGAAAAACCGACGGCCACAAAGCAGCAAGGGCACACUCAGUCCUACUCUGUUGAUCCUCACUGGUACAUGGACUCCGGGGCAACGGAACAUCUGACGAGUGAGAUGGGCAAGCUCCAUACUCGCGAACCCUACCAUGGCUCCGACAAAAUCCACACCUCCAAUGGAGCAGGUAUGCAUAUAUCUCAUAUUGGUCAAGCAUCUAUUCUUACUAGGCAUGCAAAUAGGAGUCUUCAGCUUCGUAAUGUGCUUAGAGUUCCCUCUGUGACACGUAAUCUUCUUUCUGUUCCUAAACUCACACGUGAUAAUAAUGUGCUUUGUGAAUUUCAUCCUUUUGAUCUUUUUAUUAAGGAUCGGGGCACGAGGGACAUUCUUCUUAGCGGGCGGUUGUGCCAGGGCCUCUAUCGUUUGGAGCAUCUUGGUGUCGCUCGCGUGUUCAAUGGAGUUCGGGUAUCUCCGUCACAGUGGCAUGCUCGUCUUGGUCACCCGGCCACACCUAUCGUUCGUCAUGUUUUGCGUCGUCAUGAGCUUCCUAGCAUGUCUAGUAAUAAAGAUAUAGCAGUGUGUGAUGCUUGUCAGCAAGGGAAAAGUCAUCAACUUCCUUUUUCAGAGUCCAGUCGUGAGGUUAAACAUCCUUUAGAACUUGUUUUCUCUGAUGUAUGGGGUCCUUCUCAGACUUCUGUCAGUGGUCACAAUUAUUAUAUCAGUUUCGUUGAUGCUUAU